rnacentral:rRNA from 1 species
GUCGAGCGGACAGAUGGGAGCUUGCUCCCUGAUGUUAGCGGCGGACGGGUGAGUAACACGUGGGUAACCUGCCUGUAAGACUGGGAUAACUCCGGGAAACCGGGGCUAAUACCGGAUGGUUGUUUGAACCGCAUGGUUCAGACAUAAAAGGUGGCUUCGGCUACCACUUACAGAUGGACCCGCGGCGCAUUAGCUAGUUGGUGAGGUAACGGCUCACCAAGGCAACGAUGCGUAGCCGACCUGAGAGGGUGAUCGGCCACACUGGGACUGAGACACGGCCCAGACUCCUACGGGAGGCAGCAGUAGGGAAUCUUCCGCAAUGGACGAAAGUCUGACGGAGCAACGCCGCGUGAGUGAUGAAGGUUUUCGGAUCGUAAAGCUCUGUUGUUAGGGAAGAACAAGUGCCGUUCAAAUAGGGCGGCACCUUGACGGUACCUAACCAGAAAGCCACGGCUAACUACGUGCCAGCAGCCGCGGUAAUACGUAGGUGGCAAGCGUUGUCCGGAAUUAUUGGGCGUAAAGGGCUCGCAGGCGGUUUCUUAAGUCUGAUGUGAAAGCCCCCGGCUCAACCGGGGAGGGUCAUUGGAAACUGGGGAACUUGAGUGCAGAAGAGGAGAGUGGAAUUCCACGUGUAGCGGUGAAAUGCGUAGAGAUGUGGAGGAACACCAGUGGCGAAGGCGACUCUCUGGUCUGUAACUGACGCUGAGGAGCGAAAGCGUGGGGAGCGAACAGGAUUAGAUACCCUGGUAGUCCACGCCGUAAACGAUGAGUGCUAAGUGUUAGGGGGUUUCCGCCCCUUAGUGCUGCAGCUAACGCAUUAAGCACUCCGCCUGGGGAGUACGGUCGCAAGACUGAAACUCAAGGGAAAUGACGGGGCCCGCACAAGCG